rnacentral:rRNA from 1 species
UACGUAGGGUGCGAGCGUUAAUCGGAAUUACUGGGCGUAAAGCGUGCGCAGGCGGUUCGUUGUGUCGGUGGUGAAAGCCCCGGGCUCAACCUGGGAAUGGCCAUGGAAACUGGCGAACUGGAGUGUGGCAGAGGGGGGUGGAAUUCCGCGUGUAGCAGUGAAAUGCGUAGAUAUCAGGAAGAACACCCGUGGCGAAGGCGGCUCUCUGGGACGGUACUGACGCUGAGACGCGAAAGCGUGGGGAGCGAACAGG